rnacentral:miRNA from 1 species
AAAUACUUUCUAGAACAUUAAUUUCAAUACUCCAAAAAGUACUUUCUAGAAUAGUGAAAUUAGUGCUCCAAACAGUAUUU